rnacentral:lncRNA from 1 species
GGUAGGUGGCGGUAAAGCGCCGUUCGCUGUUUGCACACUGCCGUAAAAUACCUUAAUGAGCUGCAAAGAUGCGCAACGAAGAAGAGUGACGUUUUAUACAUACCGGGCUGCUUAUGGUACGUUGUAUUUUGUUAUUAUGAAAUAUAUUGGGAAUGAAUUAAUGAAUGAAUAUAGGUUUAACAUGCACGGUCAACAGGCAGUCAGUUGUGCCUUGAAGUGAUCGAUGUCACGCUUCCAGCCUCUUUUAAAGUUGGUAAGAAAACAUCGUUACGUUAGCUGGAUGCUAACAAGCAGGACUCCUGCUAACAGCUGGGUCACUGAAGAGUCGCUUCGUACGCUCAUUAAUUGUGAUUUAAUUACUUUUGAAGGGACUGUCGCCCCUCCAGCAGCACCGUGCUCCUCCUGCUUUGACCAUCACUGCUCCCUGACUGCAAGAGCCUCUCAUCGGUGGGACUCUGCAAACUCAAGCUCAAGACGUUCCUCGAAGUUUUGUCUGCAACAAAUGCACAAUCCACAGUUUAUUUAAGAUUAGAUUAGAUUAGAUUAGAUUUGCAACAGUAGUCAACACAACCAGUACACAUCAUCCUGAAAAGAAAUAGUUUGUACAAUACAAAGUGACAUAACACAUAGCAUACAGAAGGUCAUCAUAAAAAUAUACAGUGAGAAAUAAAAAUGAGAUGAUAAUAAUAAAGCUGUACGAGUGCAUCAGUCCUUUGUUUAGUGCAAUGGCAAGAAAACAGCUUGUUAAGGAACCCAACAGCUGAUGGAACAAAUAUCAUUUGUUCCAUCAGCUAUGAUGAGAUUUACAAAGCUCCGGGCAAGAGUGGCUCAUCAUACACACGUUAAGCUUUCUCAAAUUGAUAAGUAUUUUAAUUUAGUGAGUUACACAAUUUACAAGACACAUGACUGUAAAUGGAAGCUGGAGUGCCUUUGUACUACUCAUGAAAUAAAGGUACUACGUUUUUGAGGCAAUUACGUUUAUUGUUAACCUCGUUGUAGAGUGAGGUAUUACUGGAAGGUGCAUUCAUUUGCACACAAAAAAAGACUGCCUGUGAAAAGUGUUUUUGGCAUAUUUGUGUUCACCGACAUGAAAUUAUUUAAAGUGUUAUUAAAGCAUUUUUCUUUCCUUCUUUCUAUUUCACUGUGAUCAAGCAAAUGUUUUCAAUGUCUAAUAUCUACAUAUACUAGAAAUUUCAGUUAAAAACGUAGUAUUUAUAUGACACAAAAUAACAGAAUUGACUCUUCAAUUUAAUAUUAGGUAAAGUCACCUUUUGCAGCAGUUGCGGGCUAUACUGCAUAUGAAUGGAUCUGAGGUUCCCCCGUGCGUCGCAUUGGGGGUCAAGUCCUGACACAUUUUUCACAUAUUAAUUUGCUUUUGUUAGUGCGGAUUUGUUUACACCAAAUACUACGUUUACUAUGAUGACCAUUAAGUUACAGCAGUGCUAUGUGACAUCCCCAUUUUAAGUCUUUUUCAGUAACCUAGGAAUUUAAGUCAGGAGCUCAGUUGAUAACCUCCAGUAGCACUGUCCCGUAAUGGCUUCGAAAUAUUCCUUUGACUUGAUGAUUCUUGCACGGAAAUGUUGUGACUUCUGAUAAUAAAUAGCCAUGUAAAACGAGCUGACAUCUGUGACUGUGAGAUUUCAUAUUUUUAUAGUUAAUAUUAUUUAUUUGGUUAUCAAUGUAGGGUGGGGAAAUCCCAGUGUCAUUGUUAAACAAUACAAUUUGACAAUACUGUUACAAAUGUGUCGUUUAUAUUGACUCUUUAAAUAGUUUUAUGGAGUUUGAGCAGAAUUGUGUUGCCUUAAAAUGUAAGCUUUCCAUGGGACUGACAAAAAAAAUUGAGCCAAGGUUGAAGGAAUAAAAAUAAUGCUGAAUAAUGAUCCAAAGGGGGUCACACCUCAGCAGUGGGGCUGUCAAGAUAGAGCAGAAUAUUGUCAAAACAUGUCGCACCUUGUAACAGGUGACCUCCAUUCACCUUAAUUGUGUGACUUCUAAAAACUAUUUGCUACUGCGUGUAAAGUCGCCAGACUUGACAGAACACUUGCACUGAAACUUGUUGUAUUUCUCUUAAAAAAUAAAGUUUUAUCAUUUUAGUUAUUGAGCGAUGUCUUCAAAUGUCUUCUUUUGCCCAGUCCACAACUCAAAUACUCUACAUUAACUAUCAUUACAAAGAAAAUGAGCAAAUCCUUACGUCCAUUCAGAAGCUGGAACCAGGAAUUGUAAAACAAUGACUGAAACGAUUCAUCGAUCAUCAAGAAGUCUGCAAUUAUUUCCCUUCGGAUCAACUAGUUGAUUAAUCGACUUACUGCUGUAGCUCUUCUUGCAAAUGUGUUACAUUUUCUAAAACAAUUUCAAAAGUUAAAGAAAGUAAGUCAGAAUGUUGGUACCAUAAAGUAAAGGUUUGUGUGGGACUAACAGAAAACAAUGAAGGUGCGAAAGUUGCCCGAUACUGUCUCAAGAUAACAUGGUGUCGCACCUGUGCUUGGUUUUUCUAACGUUUCCUGAUCAUGUAGCCUGUGGUCAAAGCACUGAAACACAAAGUUUUACUAUUUUCAUUAUUGAGUAAUGUAUUCAAAUUUCUUAUUUGUUCCUGUCCAGGAC